UACGUAGGUGGCAAGCGUUGUCCGGAUUUACUGGGCGUAAAGAGCGCGCAGGCGGCGAUCAAGUCGCGUGUGAAAGCCCCCGGCUCAACUGGGGAGGGUCACUCGAUACUGAUCGACUCGAAGGCAGGAGAGGGAAGUGGAAUUCCCGGUGUAGUGGUGAAAUGCGUAGAUAUCGGGAGGAACACCAGUGGCGAAGGCGACUUCCUGGCCUGUUCUUGACGCUGAGGCGCGAAAGCUAGGGGAGCAAACGGG
rnacentral:rRNA from 1 species